rnacentral:misc_RNA from 1 species
GCGUCAGAUACAUGAGCCUUGUAACGGUAGUUGUUAGCACAGUAAAGAAAAAAGAAAAAGUUACAAAACGCCAUUGUUGCAAUCACAUAGUAAAAGUAAUCCAAUCUCCCUUUGUUGAGAUCAUCCACCAACCAAUCGGGUCUGCCAUGAGCGGCGGUGGUUCGAUGCACAAUCAAAACCAUAGCAGUAUUGACAUAGCUAGACAAAGCAAUGGAACAAGAGGAGAAAGCAUUACCCAUAGUCCUCAUAUGCUCCGGAAAUUCCUUAUUGAAAAACUCAAUUUGGCCAAUUAUAUUAAACGCCUCACAAAGCCCCAUGAGGAAGAAUUGGGGAGUAAGCCAAAAGACGGACAUUAUAGAACCGUCAUUGUUGGCGCGAUUUCUUCUCUGCAUUUCGAUUAGGCCGGCAACGAUCAUGGAGAGGACGGCGAAGAUUAUGCCGAUGGCCAUGCGUUGGAGCUCCGUUAUGCCGUUUGGGUGGUGGGUGAAUUUACGGAGAGUGGGGACGAGGAAUUGGUCAUAGAAGGGAAUGAAGAAAGUGAUUGUGAGGAAGGAGAUGACGAUUAUGGAAGCAGGGGGGAUUUGAAAAUUGGGUCCCAUGUGACGGUUCAUUUGAAGAGCUUGGGAGAUUGAGAAUGUGGAUUGUUGAAUAAUUGGAGUGAGGCUAAGAAUUCCUGUUACCCAUAUUGGGAAAACUCUGAACAAGCAUUUUAAUUCUUCUACUUGUUGUAUGCUGCUUAGAUUCCAUUUGUUCACUCUUCUUCCAUCCAGGUUUAUCUCUUUCUCCAUCAUAAUUGCUGCCUUGUUUAGAAAACUAAAUUGGUUGGUGAGAGGAAGCUUUGUGAGGACAACAGAGUGAGGGGCCAACGGAGGGUCAUAAAAACCCAUCUUAUCAUCAGGAAGCUUAAGAUGACGCUUCUUGUAAGCAGCAACAGCCACUUGAGCUAAUCCCGUAAAUAUGCUUCCUUCAGGCUUUAUCAACACAUAAACACGAGUCCCCAUGAAGAACAGAACAAUAGAACAAAACAUAAGCCCCGUCGGUAUUCCAUAUCCCAAAACCCAACUCACUGAGUCUUGAAUAUACACAACAAUCGUCAAAGUAAACACCAAAACCACCAUAAACGUCGCAUAAUACCAAUUGUAAAAACUCGCUAUCCCUUUCCUCCCUUUCUCUGUCGUCGGGUCAAAUUGAUCAACCCCAAAU